rnacentral:rRNA from 1 species
AUUGAACGCUGGCGGCAGGCCUAACACAUGCAAGUCGAGCGGAUGAAGGGAGCUUGCUCCUGGAUUCAGCGGCGGACGGGUGAGUAAUGCCUAGGAAUCUGCCUGGUAGUGGGGGAUAACGUCCGGAAACGGGCGCUAAUACCGCAUACGUCCUGAGGGAGAAAGUGGGGGAUCUUCGGACCUCACGCUAUCAGAUGAGCCUAGGUCGGAUUAGCUAGUUGGUGGGGUAAAGGUCUACCAAGGCAACGAUCCGUAACUGGUCUGAGAGGAUGAUCAGUCACACUGGAACUGAGACACGGUCCAGACUCCUACGGGAGGCAGCAGUGGGGAAUAUUGGACAAUGGGCGAAAGCCUGAUCCAGCCAUGCCGCGUGUGUGAAGAAGGUCUUCGGAUUGUAAAGCACUUUAAGUUGGGAGGAAGGGCAGUAAGUUAAUACCUUGCUGUUUUGACGUUACCAACAGAAUAAGCACCGGCUAACUUCGUG